rnacentral:tRNA from 1 species
GAGGAUAUAGGUCAUUGGUAGAGUGCAUGCCUUGUGUGCACGAGGUCCUGGGUUCAAUCCCUGGUACCUCCG